GUGUUGGUCCACUCAACGGUGAUACGAUCAUUGUUGGUGUCCUGAAAAAGAACAAGUUAU
rnacentral:sRNA from 1 species